UACGUAGGGAGCAAGCGUUGUCCGGAAUCAUUGGGCGUAAAGCGCGCGUAGGCGGCCCUGUAAGUCCGCUGUGAAAGUCAAAGGCUCAACCUUUGAAAGCCGGUGGAUACUGCAGGGCUAGAGUCCGGAAGAGGCGAGUGGAAUUCCUAGUGUAGCGGUGGAAUGCGCAGAUAUCAGGAGGAACACCAAUAGCGAAGGCAGCUCGCUGGGACGGUACUGACGCUAAGGGCGCGAAAGCGUGGGGAGCGAACAGGA
rnacentral:rRNA from 1 species